rnacentral:snRNA from 1 species
UGUUUUGUUGAUAUUAUCUAUAU